CGCCUCUUGAUCAAAAAUAAGAGGUCCUGCCUGCCCAGUGACCAAAUUCAACGGCCGCGGUACCCUAACCGUGCAAAGGUAGCACAAUCACUUGUUCCAUAAAUAGGGACUAGUAUGAACGGCACCACGAAGACUAUACUGUCUCCCCCAUUCAAUCAGUGAAACUGAUCUCCCCGUGAAGAAGCGGGGAUUAAUAUAUAAGACGAGAAGACCCCAUGGAGCUUUAAACUAAGCACCACUCACUACCAUAAUAGACCACUAUAACCCACUGAGCUGACCGCCUGUUUUUGGUUGGGGUGACCACGGAGCAAAACACAACCUCCGCAAUGAACGGACUUAACCUCCUUACUCAAGACCCACCGCUCAAUAAAUCAACACAAUGACAUAAAUUGACCCAAACCUAUUGACCAAUGAACCUAGUUACCCUGGGGAUAACAGCGCAAUCCAUUUAAAGAGCCCCUAUCGACAAAUGGGUUUACGACCUCGAUGUUGGAUCAGGGUAUCCCAGUGGUGCAGCCGCUACUAAAGGUUCGUUUGUUCAACGAUUAAAACCC
rnacentral:rRNA from 1 species